rnacentral:rRNA from 1 species
AACGAACGCUGGCGGCAUGCCUAACACAUGCAAGUCGAACGAGACCUUCGGGUCUAGUGGCGCACGGGUGCGUAACGCGUGGGAACCUGCCCUUAGGUUCGGAAUAACUCCCCGAAAGGGGUGCUAAUACCGGAUAAUGUCUUCGGACCAAAGAUUUAUCGCCUUUGGAUGGGCCCGCGUUGGUUUAGCUAGUUGGUAGGGUAAAAGCCUACCAAGGCGACGAUCCAUAGCUGGUCUGAGAGGAUGAUAAGCCACAAUGGGAAUGAGACACGGCCCAGACUCCGACGGGAGGCAGCAGUGGAGAAUAUUGGACAAUGGGCGAAAGCCUGACCCAGCAAUGCGGCGUGAGUGAGGAAGGCCUUAGGGUUGUAAAGCUCUUUUACCCGGGAUGAUAAUGACAGUACCGGGAGAAUAAGCUCCGGCUAACUCCGUG